UGGGGAAUAUUGCACAAUGGGCGCAAGCCUGAUGCAGCGACGCCGCGUGAGGGAUGACGGCCUUCGGGUUGUAAACCUCUGUUAGCAUCGAAGAAGCGAAAGUGACGGUAGGUGCAGAGAAAGCGCCGGCUAACUACGUGCCAGCAGCCGCGGUAAUACGUAGGGCGCGAGCGUUGUCCGGAAUUAUUGGGCGUAAAGAGCUUGUAGGCGGUUGGUCGCGUCUGCUGUGAAAGGCCGGGGCUUAACUCCGGUUUUGCAGUGGGUACGGGCUAACUAGAGUGCAGUAGGGGAGACUGGAAUUCUUGGUGUAGCGGUGGAAUGCACAGAUAUCAGGAGGAACACCGAUGGCGAAGGCAGGUCUCUGGGCUGUAACUGACGCUGAGAAGCGAAAGCAUGGGGAGCGAACAGGAUUAGAUACCCUGGUAGUCCAUGCCGUAAACGUUGGGCACUAGGUGUGGGGGACAUUCCACGUUUUCCGCGCCGUAGCUAACGCAUUAAGUGCCCCGCCUGGGGAGUACGGCCGCAAGGCUA
rnacentral:rRNA from 1 species